rnacentral:tRNA from 1 species
GAGGGGAGGUUUGAAACCAACAAGAACUGCUAACUCUCGC